rnacentral:rRNA from 1 species
AACGAACGCUGGCGGCAGGCCUAACACAUGCAAGUCGAGCGAAGCCUUCGGGCUUAGCGGCGGACGGGUGCGUAACGCGUGGGAACGUGCCCUUUGCUACGGAAUAUCCCCGGGAAACUAGGAGAAAUACCGUAUGUGCCCAUCGGGGGAAAGAUGUAUCGCCCAAGGAUCGGCCCGCGUUGGAUUAGGUAGUUGGUGGGGUAAUGGCCUACCAAGCCGACGAUCGAUAGCUGGUUUGAGAGGAUGAUCAGCCACACUGGGACUGAGACACGGCCCAGGCUCCUACGGGAGGCAGCAGUGGGGAAUCUUAGACAAUGGGGGAAACCCUGAUCUAGCCAUGCCGCGUGAUCGAUGAAGGCCUUAGGGUUGUAAAGAUCUUUCAGUGGGGAAGAUAAUGACUGUACCCACAGAAGAAGCCCCGGCUAACUCCGUGCCAGCCGCCGCCGUAAUAC